UUGUACAGAGUUGAGGAGUUGCGAACGGGUGAGUAACGCGUAGGUAACCUGCCUGGUAGCGGGGGAUAACUAUUGGAAACGAUAGCUAAUACCGCAUAACAGUGUUUACUGCAUGGUAAACAUUUAAAAGGUGCAACUGCACCACUACCAGAUGGACCUGCGUUGUAUUAGCUAGUAGGUAAGGUAACGGCUUACCUAGGCGACGAUACAUAGCCGACCUGAGAGGGUGAUCGGCCACACUGGGACUGAGACACGGCCCAGACUCCUACGGGAGGCAGCAGUAGGGAAUCUUCGGCAAUGGGGGGAACCCUGACCGAGCAACGCCGCGUGAGUGAAGAAGGUUUUCGGAUCGUAAAGCUCUGUUGUAAGAGAAGAACGUUAGCGGGAGUGGAAAAUCCGCUAAGUGACGGUACCUUACCAGAAAGGGACGGCUAACUACGUGCCAGCAGCCGCGGUAAUACGUAGGUCCCGAGCGUUGUCCGGAUUUAUUGGGCGUAAAGCGAGCGCAGGCGGUUUGAUAAGUCAGAAGUAAAAGGCUGUGGCUCAACCAUAGUACGCUUUUGAAACUGUCAAACUUGAGUGCAGAAGGGGGGAGUGGAAUUCCAUGUGUAGCGGUGAAAUGCGUAGAUAUAUGGAGGAACACCGGUGGCGAAAGCGGCUCUCUGGUCUGUAACUGACGCUGAGGCUCGAAAGCGUGGGGAGCGAACA
rnacentral:rRNA from 1 species